rnacentral:lncRNA from 1 species
UUACGAGAAUCGGGCUGUUUAUAGUUCUAGAUUUAGGAAUGAACAAUAUUCCUAAAGAAUGUCAAUAAUAAAGAAAGGUAGGGGCAUUAUCAAUGAUAUCGCGGGUGGUUGUGAUGGAAGUGAAUAGGAUUGAAUAGUGACAUAAGAAGAAGUGUGAAAAUGAGAGGUAGGAUUUGAAUAAUGAUAUCUUGAAUGGACA